AACGAACGCUGGCGGCAGGCUUAACACAUGCAAGUCGAGCGCCCCGCAAGGGGAGCGGCAGACGGGUGAGUAACGCGUGGGAACGUACCUUUUGGUUCGGAACAACUCCGGGAAACUGGAGCUAAUACCGGAUAAGCCCUAACGGGGAAAGAUUUAUCGCCGAAAGAUCGGCCCGCGUCUGAUUAGCUAGUUGGUGAGGUAACGGCUCACCAAGGCGACGAUCAGUAGCUGGUCUGAGAGGAUGAUCAGCCACACUGGGACUGAGACACGGCCCAGACUCCUACGGGAGGCAGCAGUGGGGAAUAUUGGGCAAUGGGCGCAAGCCUGAUCCAGCCAUGCCGCGUGAGUGAUGAAGGCCUUAGGGUUGUAAAGCUCUUUUGUCCGGGAAGAUAAUGACUGUACCGGAAGAAUAAGCCCCGGCUAACUUCGUG
rnacentral:rRNA from 1 species